UACAGAGGGUGCAAGCGUUGUUCGGAAUCAUUGGGCGUAAAGGGCGCGUAGGCGGUUUCGUAAGUCGGAUGUGAAAGCCCAGGGCUCAACCUUGGAAGUGCAUCCGAAACUGUGAAACUUGAAUCCUGGAGAGGGUGGUGGAAUUCCCAGUGUAGAGGUGAAAUGCGUAGAUAUUGGGAGGAACACCAGUGGCGAAGGCGACCUCCUGGACAGAGACUGACGCUGAGGCGCGAGAGCGUGGGGAGCAAACAGG
rnacentral:rRNA from 1 species